rnacentral:rRNA from 1 species
CGCGGCCUAUCAGCUUGUUGGUGAGGUAACGGCCCACCAAGGCGACGACGGGUAGCCGGCCUGAGAGGGUGACCGGCCACACUGGGACUGAGACACGGCCCAGACUCCUACGGGAGGCAGCAGUGGGGAAUAUUGCACAAUGGACGCAAGCCUGAUGCAGCAACGCCGCGUGAGGGACGACGGCCUUCGGGUUGUAAACCUCUUUUAGUAGGGAAGAAGCGAUGUGCUUGUCACAUCAUGACGGUACCUGCAGAAAAAGCACCGGCUAACUACGUGCCAGCAGCCGCGGUAAUACGUAGGGUGCAAGCGUUAUCCGGAAUUAUUGGGCGUAAAGAGCUCGUAGGCGGUUUGUCGCGUCUGCUGUGAAAACUGGAGGCUCAACCUCCAGCCUGCAGUGGGUACGGGCAGACUAGAGUGCGGUAGGGGAGAUUGGAAUUCCUGGUGUAGCGGUGGAAUGCGCAGAUAUCAGGAGGAACACCGAUGGCGAAGGCAGAUCUCUGGGCCGUAACUGACGCUGAGGAGCGAAAGCAUGGGGAGCGAGCAGGAUUAGAUACCCUGGUAGUCCAUGCCGUAAACGUUGGGCGCUAGGUGUGGGGCUCUUUCCACGAGUUCCGUGCCGCAACAAACGCAUUAAGCGCCCCGCCUGG